UACAGAGGUCCCAAGCGUUGUUCGGAUUCACUGGGCGUAAAGGGUGCGUAGGUGGCCGUGUAAGUUUGGUGUGAAAGCUCGGAGCUUAACUCCGAAAAGGCAUUGAAUACUAUACGGCUUGAGGGUCGGAGGGGAGACUGGAAUUCUCGGUGUAGCAGUGAAAUGCGUAGAUAUCGAGAGGAACACCAGUGGCGAAGGCGAGUCUCUGGACGACUCCUGACACUGAGGCACGAAAGCCAGGGGAGCAAAC
rnacentral:rRNA from 1 species